rnacentral:rRNA from 1 species
GAUGAACGCUGGCGGCGUGCCUAAUACAUGCAAGUCGAGCGAAGCGGGGACGGGUGCGUAACACGUGGAUAACCUCCUAUAAGACUGGGAUAACUUCGGGAAACCGGAGGUAAAGCGGCUACUUAUAGAUGGAACAGCGUUGCAUUAGCUAGGUGGUAAGGUAACGGCUUACCAAGGCAACGAUGCAUAGCCGACCUGAGAGGGUGAUCGGCCACACUGGAACUGAGACACGGUCCAGACUCCUACGGGAGGCAGCAGUAGGGAAUCUUCGGCAAUGGGCGAAAGCCUGACCGAGCAACGCCGCGUGAGUGAAGAAGGUUUUCGGAUCGUAAAACUCUGUUAUUAGAGAAGCGGUACCUAAUCAGAAAGCCACGGCUAACUACGUGCCAGCAGCCGCGGUAAUAC